GAUGAACGCUGGCGGCGUGCCUAAUACAUGCAAGUCGAGCGAACAGACGAGGAGCUUGCUCCUCUGACGUUAGCGGCGGACGGGUGAGUAACACGUGGAUAACCUACCUAUAAGACUGGGAUAACUUCGGGAAACCGGAGCUAAUACCGGAUAAUAUAUUGAACCGCAUGGUUCAAUAGUGAAAGACGGUUUUGCUGUCACUUAUAGAUGGAUCCGCGCCGCAUUAGCUAGUUGGUAAGGUAACGGCUUACCAAGGCAACGAUGCGUAGCCGACCUGAGAGGGUGAUCGGCCCCACUGGAACAGAGACACGGUCCAGCCUCCUACGGGAGGCAGCAGUAGGGAAUCUUCAGCAAUGGGAGAAAGCCUGACGGAGCAACGCCGCGUGAGUGAUGAAGGUCUUCGGAUCGUAAAACUCUGUUAUUAGGGAAGAACAACUGUGUAAGUAACUAUGCACGUAUCGACGGUACCUAAUCAGAAAGCAACGGCUAACUACGUG
rnacentral:rRNA from 1 species